ensembl:miRNA
CCGGCUGCCCGCCCACCCCGCGGCCGCCAUCUUGCUUGCGGCCGGCUACCCACAACCAAGAUGGCGCCCGGGCGGUUGGCGGUGCCGGCACCACCCCA